rnacentral:misc_RNA from 1 species
UACGAUCUACCAAUCGAAUCCCAACGAAGUAUCGGCGCUGAAGAAGACAGGCAUCAAAUCGGUCAAAGAUCUGGCAGGGAAGAAGGUCGCCAUCCCCGCAGGUAGUUCACAGGCCACGAUGCUGCCGCUUCUCCUCAAGGCCAACAACCUUAAGGAGUCCGAUAUGACUCUGAUGAACAUGCCGCUCCAGUCGAUGGUGCCGGCACUAUUGCAGGGCCAGGUGGAUGCAAUUCUUGGAUCCGUAGACUCUUACCAAAUCCAGCUUGAGGCACAGGGCGCUGAACUUGAUACCUUCACGUUUGCCGAGCACGGCGUUCCGACGGUCAGCACGUCCAUCUUUGCCGCCAACAGCUUCAUCAAAGACAACCCGGACGUUCUACGUAAGUUUAUCGCCGCGAGCCUGAAGGGGUGGAGCUUCGCCCUCGAUAACCCUGAGAAGACUAUCAAGCACCUGAAGGCCGUGUUUCCUGACGUAAACGAGAAACUCGCCACCGCGGAACUCGCUGCAAUCACGCCUCUGUUCUGCAGCGGUGGCGCACAAUU